rnacentral:tRNA from 1 species
AUUAAUAUGGCAGAUUAGUGCAAUGAGUUUAAGCCUCAUUUAUGAGGAUUUUAAUUCCUCUUUUAAUA